UACAGAAAUUUGCGCUUAUUGUCGCUUUUUUAAUUAACGUCAUUCAUCAUAAACAUCUGUCGAUUAAACUAGUAAAUUCAACUGGUGUUUUUGCGCUACAAAUUUUUGCCGAUUAUGAGCAUCGUUAACGCUUCGUUCAAAAUGUUUUUAUUACUGUGCAUAAACAUUUUGUUUUUUAUGUGCAAUGCCACAAAUAUAACAACUCCUUUAUGCAGGGACGAAAACAAUCAAGUCGUCGAUUGGUAUGUACUUUACAAGUUACCAAAGGUGUCACAAAGCAGCAAUCCUGUGAUUAGAAACGGAUUAGCGUAUCUAUAUAUGACCAAUAAAACUAUUGACAAGGGUUGGCAAUUAUCUGCGAAAAAAAUCAGCGACGAAAAUUCUAUACCAGGAAAUACAUUAGCACCUUUAUAUAAUGAUUCAGAGGCAUCAAAGGCUUUCUGGAUCUUGUAUAACGAUGAUCCGCCUAAUAGACCUAUCAAUGGAAAAUAUGGCCAUGCGAAGGGCGCCGUGAUGGCGAAUAUGCAACAAGGUUUCUGGUUAAUACACAGUGUCCCGAAUUAUCCACCUUUACCCAACAGCGGCAAUGACACAAGACGGGGACGAGACAUGCAAGAGAAUCCGACUCCGGGAAAUCGGUCUGAGUAUGGUUACCCAUCAUCCGGGGAGAAUUACGGACAGAGCUUCCUGUGCAUCUCUAUGGACGGCGAUCAAUUCGACCUGAUCGGUCAACAGUUGAUGUUCAAUCAGAUAAUAGUAUACAGAAGAAACAUCCCUGUCACGUUCGCCGCAUCAUUUCCGGUACUCACAGAUGCGGCCAAUCAAAAGCGCAUCAGACAAGCACCCUUCAGCAGCAAAGCGGUAUUAAGAUCAUCUGGUGACGUCAAAUUUUUAUCAUUCGCCAAGAGUGACAAGUGGCAGAAAGAUUUGUACGACGAAUUUGUCGCACCAACUUUACGGUCUGAUUUAUUCGCGGAAACGUGGUUGAACGGACGGGGUAGAUUACCAUCGGAUUGCGAGCACACAAAAGUAUACAAUGUCGUGUCUAUUUCUUUGCAAGCAUUUGAUAUCGAUUUUAAGAGCAGCCGCGAUCACUCAAAGUGGGCGGUGGCAAUUGAAGGUAAAGCUAAUCAAACUUGGAUCUGCAUCGGUGAUAUCAACCGAGCGGACACUCAGUACCUACGAGGCGGUGGAACUGUCUGUUUAAAUCACCGGAAAGUCUGGGAAAAUUACCGGCAUGUCGUGAAUGAUGUGGAACCGUGUCCCAAGAGCUAUGAGACAGUCUUAGUUUAAAAAAUUUAUUUAUAAUUUUAUUUAAAAGAAUAACAGCAAAGUAUUGAAAGGAUAUGUUAUCGGCAGUAUGAAAGCUGUUAAUACUGAGUUACUGUACCAUACACAAGAGGUCUCAUCAUUGAUAAAUAUACGGAUGGAAUAAUUGAAUUUAAUAUAAAGUAAAAAAUUAUAGAUGGCAAAAGCAAAAAGUUUACACACAAAAUAAUUUACUAAUAACAUCAUAGUUAUCUGAAAAAAUAGAAAAUAAAUGUUCUCUCUUUUUAUCUUU